rnacentral:lncRNA from 1 species
UGUCUAAAACAGAAUGGAGAGGUUUGGGGAUCAGACAUCUAUACAGAUGUGAGAUGAGUUAAUAGACCUAUCUUGUGAUAAAUACUGUUUCACCUUUUGUUUCACCGUCUCAUUUUAAGUAUUAAUAAGAACAAUCCAGAGGAAAAGUUAUCAGCAAGAAUAUUUAACUAUUUUCCAUUAUAAUAGCGCUACGCCUAAAGGAACUCUCCCAAUAACAUAGCCAUAAUAAAUGAAACAAUCCAAACACUACAACCAUUACAAUCUGAUGUAGUGGUUAUGGUGUCAUUAAUGCCUUAACACCUUACCAGGAUAGAGCCCUCAGUUCCAGCCAUUGAGGCAAAUCUGCACAGCAGAGCUUAGCUCAGUGAAGCUCAUAACAUGUGCCGUACACUUACCAGAUAAGUUGUCAAACUGUUCCAAAAGGUUAGAUUACUUACAAUUGUAGAGAACCACUUAACUACUGGCACCAUAACCACCACAGUGGUUGUAGUUUUUAUGGUUCUUAGAGUGUUCCAUUAACCCAAUAACUUUACUUUAUAUAUAAUCCUUGUUGUGAUUUCACAGUACAUGUCCACUUAUGUCAUAAAAAAUGCCAAACUACCUGCUGUUAAUCAAUAUGAGAACAUCCAUAUCAGAAUUGUAGCCUUCAUUAUUUCAGAAGGGCAGUUUGGCCAUUUGUCCUUCUACCACUAUGCUUUUAAAUGUUCAAGUACUUAAAUACUAAAUACAACACAAAGUAAGAAUGUGAUAUAAACAAAAUACAAACAUAGUUAAUUAACAUAAAUUAUAUAUUUCUGUUAUUAGGAAUCUGCAGUUUGUCGAGCUGCAAUCCAUUCAAACUUCAUGGGAGAUCAAGGUGGGAGUGUAAUUCUUCAAAAGAUACAGGGACAGGAUAGCUACAAGGAGUCCACCAGAAACGGAGUGACCACGAAACCACAGGGCAAAUGGUCUGGAUCAUUUAUACUGAGUUUGUCAUAUGAAUCUCAAAGCACCACAUACACAGAGUACUCUUAUACAUUCCCACAAACAGGUGACUUUCUUUACUUGCUUUGCUAUCCACGGCCUCAAUUUAAUAUUAUUAGAUAAGCUUUUCAAAUGAUUUCAUAUUUUUGGAUAAACUUUUUUUUUUUUACAUUUUAAAAUACCAAAAAAUAUAUAUAAUUUACAUAAAAUAUUCAAAAAAUAUCACAAAAUAAAAAUAUAUUCAUGAUAUUAAAUUGUUUUAAGCAUUUAUUUAUUAACUCAUUUUAAAAGCUUAUGCAACAAUAUUAAAUGUAGGCCCAUAUAUUAUACUAAGGAUGUUUCUGUAUCUUUACUGUACACUAACUUUUUGUUUUUCGUUUUGAAAUAGGAAUGGCUGGGCAGUCAAAACCAGAAACAGGUAACUCAUCAUUUCAUUUCUUCCAUUAUUUACAGAAUUCAUGUUCCACUCUGGAAUAUGAUCUUGGUGAACAUGGUGAAAUGCAAGAUUUUACAUUUUCAUAACUGUGACAACAACAACUAUUUAAUGUUACUGGGAUUAUGGGAACUAAUAAAAAGAUAGCUUGUGUCAGCCUAAAUAGCCCUGGUGAAAGAAUUCUUUGCUAUUUUGGUCUAAAAAUGUAAUUCCCUUGUCAGUCAUCCACAAUCCCUGCUUAGUAAAUUAAUAUUAUUGUAACAGUAUUAGUAGUCGCAUUUAUAUAGGGAGAUAUAUAUUCUGAAGCACUUUAAAAUUUUAAAUGGUUGAUUUAACCCCUUAAGGACACAUGACACGUGUGACAUGUCAUGAUUCCUUUUUAUUCCAGAAGUUUGGUCCUUAAGGGGUUAAGAGCAAAUGAGACAGACUAUUAGAAAUGUUUGCAGCAAGAGCAGUGAACAGUAUGUAUGUUUUAUCUUUCAUUCUUCUAUAUUUGUCCUCUCAUUUACAAAUACUAAAACUAUUAUAACAAAAAAAUUAUUUAAUAAACAAAGUUGUGAGUAAUUAUUUGGCCAACUUUACCCUGAAUUAGUACCUAGAUUUUAGUUUCAUUGCUAUUACUUUUUUAAUAAAGGAACAUCUAAUCGCAUUGGUUUCUUGGAUAGUGUGUCACUGACAAAGUGGGAAACAGAUUGCAUAAUAAAAAAAUUAAAAAAACAAGUAUAAUAAUGGGUUUAAUAUUGCAUAUAAAAUAAAUAUGAAUCCCACCGGAGCCUUCCUACUACUGACAGUGAAUAAGUAACAUUAGCGCAUGCUUCAUGUUAAAAAUGUAUUCCUGUAACAAAGCAAUCUACAAUACAAUCAUGCAGUAAAUGAUGAAAACUUUCCCUCAAUCUAACUUUAAAAUUAUUUUGUAUUAGUUUCAGCAGAAUGUUGGUGGACAGGGGCACAAUUACCUGGACCUUAUACAAUGUAAGUAAAGUCACAGAAAGUACAGUUUCAAUUUAGAAAACAGCAGCUAUAUUGGUAUUAUACUAACAGUUCCCCUUUUUGGUGGGAAAGUCCCUAUUCCAGGGUUCUGUCCCCCUAUCCCAAUUUUGAUCCCUGGUGUCCAGCUAUUGAGGACAACAGGGGCGGGUCUACAGAAAGUGUACAACAAGUUCAUUAUUAGACCUGCAUGUUCUAUGUUCAGAGUACUAGGACCAAGCAUAGAGUGCAGAAACACUGUACUCUUUAUUGUUCACCCUUAGUGUGUUCGACUACUUGAUUGGCACGCCAAACUGAACUGCCUAUUCUUCAGGCGGAUCCACCUGCUUAGGGAGGUGCAAGUGACACAAUUCAUAUAAUUGUGUCACUUAUGCCUCCUGCUCCCUUUCACUUCACCCACCAGCGUUCCACUUUACAGGACACUUUACAUGACUGCUAUUUGGGGAUAUGUAUCAAGCGUAUGCAUAAUUUUACUCUUUCGCCACUACAUUUUAUUUCUGAUUUGUUUGCUGAGAAGGAAAGGUUUGGAAGGAAAAUUAAAGGGUUUGAGAAAAACAGGGUCUUACCUAGAGCAGAGGUAGCCAGUUUUUACCCAUAUCUCCCAUGUCUGCUAGAAGCAUUACCAGCAUAUUCCCAUGUGAUUAAUACACUAAACUGGGUAUUGACGGGAACUGACAACGUGUAAUGCUUACCUGCUCCAGCGCUUCUUCUCUCUAAUUCAAUGGCGGGACAGUUGCAGCAUGCUGCUUGUGCGCACCUGUUUGUAGCCUGUCGCGCCAACGACAGAACGGCACGACUCUGAGCACCGAUUCGGUCAGCACAAACGAACACAGAAAACUCCAAAAAUUCGGCAUUCGUACAAAUUCGGGUCUUUACACGUUCUAAAAUGAUACCAGCCAAUAGUGUUAAUGCUCUGGCUAUUUAAAGUCAGAGCUUGGUGGAGCAAGUUGCCCUGUUGUGGUUCUUGUUGACCCAAGAGUGAGUUUCAUCUUUAUUAUUGUAUUGGAUAACACAUAGUACAAUGGCAUAGCUAAUAUUGGUUGACCAUGAAAACUCAAUGUUUCCAGUUUUGGCUAUUUUGGCCUAGAACUUGCAGUUCCCUUGUCAACGUUCCAUUAUUUCUGGUCUAAUGAAAGUUCUUCUAAGUACCACCAAGCUCAAACUGUUAAAACUGUUAACUGAUUUCUGACUAAACAAAGAAAAGGAUUGCAAUAGAGGGCACUUCUUGCGUUAGUGACUGAUACUGGUACCUGAGGGAAUAAUAUGUUACAACCAUUAGCUUUUCAAACAUGCUACAAUAGCAUCUCAGACUGUUCUGCUAUGAUAUUACAUCAUUGUUUCUUCUUUCUUUUAGAAUUAUUUGUCCUGAUGGAUGUCUG